CAAUUGGAGGGUGGGUUGAGGGGAGGAUGGCAUCAAGGAAAACUUCCUGGAGGGGCGGCUGAUUAUUCCCAUUCUGAGAACAGGAAUACCGAGUCAUGAGGGAGAUCCUGCUGCUCCAGGAGGCUGCAAAGAAUUACAACCAGAGCCCGAGGAGCGAUUUGGGGCUUGGUUCCAGGACAUGGAGCUGCUCAACCAGAAUGAUAGCUACAGCCUGUCCUGCCAGCUGGAGCCCCAGGCCUAGUUGGCCAGCAGAAUACUCAAGGCCAAGAAGAACCGGCCGUCAUCAAGUUCAGGGGUGAGUG